GGCCUUCAAAUUGAAAAUAAGCGAGUCGAUCUGCCCAGUGACUAAGAUAGUUAAACGGCCGCGGUACCCUAACCGUGCAAAGGUAGCAUAAUCAUUUGCCUUUUAAUUGGAGGCUUGUAUGAAUGGUUUGACGAGAGCUAUGCUGUCUCUAUUAAAAUAAUUAGAAAUUAACUUUUAGGUGAAGAGGCCUAAAUUAAGCUGAGGGACAAGAAGACCCUGUUGAGCUUUAGUGUGGUUAAGUGGCCCAAUUUUUCAUUCCUUAAGAAAAUGGUUUUUCUUAGUGACAAUUUAUGAGCCUAACCAGCCUAAAGUCACCGGGUCAUCUGGUCCUUCACCUAAGUUAGGCUCUCACCUAAAAGUUAUUUCUAAUAUUUUAUAGAGACAGAAAAGUUCUCGGUCAAACCAUCGAAAACCCUCAAUUAAAAGGAAAGACUAAAGAGUGGGAGUUCAAAACCUAUAUACAAACUUCCGGGAGACUGUGUGUGAAACGGGGGG
rnacentral:rRNA from 1 species